UCCAUGAUCUCGUAGAACUUGGAGCCCCUGGCCCACGCAUAGACGGCCUCCAUAAUGUCCGGGCGGAACGAUUUCACAAAGCUCUCCACGUCGAUCUGGACCUGCAGAUUCACCAGCAAGGUUUUUUUUUUUCCCCAUCUUAGAACAGCAAAAAAAACAAAAAAAACAGAAAUUUCUGCAUGAUUUAGAGGGGUUUAAUGAUGGGGGAGGUGGGUGGGCAUGAAGAAAAGUUGCUAAAAAAAGGAAAAAAAUUCAUGAAGAGCGAUCUAGAAACCCUAAGAAGCUCCUCCUCUUGUGCGGAACAGGAAGAACAGAUGUGAAGGUACCUUGCAUUCGAGCUGGACUUUGGCGAUCUUCCUGGCCGUCUCUUGCAGCUGCGAGAAGAGAAGGUCCAGCUCUUCUCUGGGCUUCUGAGAGUCAUUCAGCUUCUCCUGCCACACGAAACAAGAUA
rnacentral:lncRNA from 1 species